GUGUUAGGCAAAUCCGGCACUCGUUAGGCUGAGCUGUGAUGGGGAGAGGAAAUUGUUUCCUCGAGUCGUUGAUUUCACACUGCCGAGAAAAGCCUCUAGAUAGAUAACAGGUGCCCGUACCGCAAACCGACACAGGUAGUCAAGAUGAGAAUUCUAAGGUGAGCGAGCGAACUCUCGUUAAGGAACUCGGCAAAAUGACCCCGUAACUUCGGGAGAAG
rnacentral:rRNA from 1 species